AGUAGUUUGAUCCUGGCUCGAGGACGAACGCUGGCGGUAUGCUUAAUACAUGCAAGUCGAACGGAGCUCAGCGGAAGCUUGCUUCUGCGAAAGCUUAGUGGCGGACGGGUGAGUAACGCGUGAGUAACCUGCCUUAAAGAGGGGGAUAACACAGAGAAAUUUGUGCUAAUACCGCAUAAUGUAGCGAAGCCGCAUGACUUUGCUACCAAAGGUCAGCCGCUUUAAGAUGGACUCGCGUCCGAUUAGGUAGUUGGUGAGGUAACGGCCCACCAAGCCGACGAUCGGUAGCCGGACUGAGAGGUCGAACGGCCACAUUGGGACUGAGACACGGCCCAGACUCC
rnacentral:rRNA from 1 species